CCGUCCACCCUGACGGCAACCGACAACCUGAAACAGCCUAAACUCUGCUGAAAAAUAAGCUCGGCAUCCCAGCACGAGCGUAAAUGCAUUCUAAACUACCCCGAAUACCCACCGCGCUAAACAGCGGCGAUACAAUCAAAACACGGCUCCUAGAGCUAAAUCAGGUAGUAGAAUCAUAUGACGAGUCAAAACACUGAUUUUCUCCUAAGUCAAAAUUUCAAGUCCAACAUGUAUAAUAUAUUAACUCAUUCAGCAUGCUUUACAAUUCAGAUUUCAGCCCAAAGCUAAUCGAUAAAUUCAAUCAAACUGAAUAGUAGACAAAACGAAAAUCAUACACGUCGACUAUAUAUGCACUU
rnacentral:lncRNA from 1 species